AUUGAACGCUGGCGGCAGGCCUAACACAUGCAAGUCGAGCGGAUGAAGGGAGCUUGCUCCUGGAUUCAGCGGCGGACGGGUGAGUAAUGCCUAGGAAUCUGCCUGGUAGUGGGGGAUAACGUCCGGAAACGGGCGCUAAUACCGCAUACGUCCUGAGGGAGAAAGUGGGGGAUCUUCGGACCUCACGCUAUCAGAUGAGCCUAGGUCGGAUUAGCUAGUUGGUGGGGUAAAGGCCUACCAAGGCGACGAUCCGUAACUGGUCUGAGAGGAUGAUCAGUCACACUGGAACUGAGACACGGUCCAGACUCCUACGGGAGGCAGCAGUGGGGAAUAUUGGACAAUGGGCGAAAGCCUGAUCCAGCCAUGCCGCGUGUGUGAAGAAGGUCUUCGGAUUGUAAAGCACUUUAAGUGGGGAGGAAGAGCAGUAAGUUAAUACCUUGCUGUUUUGACGUUACCAACAGAAUAAGCACCGGCUAACUUCGUG
rnacentral:rRNA from 1 species